UGCAGGAUGAACUUGAAUUUCACACACAGCCAUUUGGAUGCUUCCUUUGCAACCCUUCCAGGCAUCUUCCUGAGAAUCGUAGUAGGACAAGAUACCACCACAGAGAAGAAACCAACGAGGUUGCCAGCCGCUCAGGUAGUUGGUCCACUUGUACAGCACGCCCUCCAUGGCGACCGGCCUCCGCCCCCAUACAGCGCGGCGGCCCCCGGCGCACUCACGCCGUUCGCCG
rnacentral:lncRNA from 1 species